AUCUCAUGAUGUGGACAUUGGUAUAAAAGAUAUAAGAAUAUGUCCCAUGCUUGGCAUAACAUUUCCCCUUCCUUCUGAUCGAAAUGCAGGAUUUGAUUCUUAAGUU